GAGUUUGAUCAUGGCUCAGAUUGAACGCUGGCGGCAUGCCUUACACAUGCAAGUCGAACGGCAGCACGGGAGCAAUCCUGGUGGCGAGUGGCGAACGGGUGAGUAAUACAUCGGAACGUGCCCAAUCGUGGGGGAUAACGCAGCGAAAGCUGUGCUAAUACCGCAUACGAUCUACGGAUGAAAGCAGGGGACCGCAAGGCCUUGCGCGAAUGGAGCGGCCGAUGGCAGAUUAGGUAGUUGGUGGGGUAAAGGCUCACCAAGCCAACGAUCUGUAGCUGGUCUGAGAGGACGACCAGCCACACUGGGACUGAGACACGGCCCAGACUCCUACGGGAGGCAGCAGUGGGGAAUUUUGGACAAUGGGCGCAAGCCUGAUCCAGCCAUGCCGCGC
rnacentral:rRNA from 1 species